rnacentral:misc_RNA from 1 species
AGCAGCCGCGGUAAUUCCAGCUCCAAUAGCGUAUAUUAAAGUUGUUGCAGUUAAAAAGCUCGUAGUUGAAUUUCGGGAUCAAUAUGCUUGUCGUGCCUCGGUACGUACUAGCUUAUUGGUUUCUCCUUUCUGAAGAACCAUGAUGUCAUUCAUUUGGUGUCGUGGGGAAUCAGGACUGUUACUUUGAAAAAAUUAGAGUGUUUAAAGCAGGCUCACGCUUGAAUACAUUAGCAUGGAAUAAUGAAAUAGGACGUUUGGUUCUAUUUUGUUGGUUUCUAGGAUCGACGUAAUGAUUAAUAGGGAUAGUUGGGGGGCAUUAGUAUUCAAUUGUCAGAGGUGAAAUUCUUGGAUUUAUUGAAGACUAACUACUGCGAAAGCAUUUGCCAAGGAUGUUUUCAUUAAUCAAGAACGAAAGUUAGGGGAUCGAAGACGAUCAGAUACCGUCGUAGUCUUAACCAUAAACUAUGCCGACUAGGGAUC